rnacentral:rRNA from 1 species
CGGCACGGGUGAGUAACACGUAUCCAACCUGCCGUCUACUCUUGGACAGCCUUCUGAAAGGAAAGAUUAAUACAAGAUGGCAUCAUGAGUUCACAUGUUCACAUGAUUAAAGGUAUUCCGGUAGACGAUGGGGAUGCGUUCCAUUAGAUAGUAGGCGGGGUAACGGCCCACCUAGUCUUCGAUGGAUAGGGGUUCUGAGAGGAAGGUCCCCCACAUUGGAACUGAGACACGGUCCAA